rnacentral:rRNA from 2 species
CUUUAUUGGAGAGUUUGAUCCUGGCUCAGGACGAACGCUGGCGGCGUGCCUAAUACAUGCAAGUCGAGCGGACUUGAGGGAGCUUGCUCCCGAUGGUCAGCGGCGGACGGGUGAGUAACACGUGGGCAACCUGCCUGUAAGACUGGGAUAACUCCGGGAAACCGGAGCUAAUACCGGAUAAUUCAUUCCCUCACAUGAGGGAAUGCUGAAAGACGGCUCCGGCUGUCACUUACAGAUGGGCCCGCGGCGCAUUAGCUAGUUGGUGAGGUAACGGCUCACCAAGGCCACGAUGCGUAGCCGACCUGAGAGGGUGAUCGGCCACACUGGGACUGAGACACGGCCCAGACUCCUACGGGAGGCAGCAGUAGGGAAUCUUCCGCAAUGGACGAAAGUCUGACGGAGCAACGCCGCGUGAGCGAAGAAGGCCUUCGGGUCGUAAAGCUCUGUUGUCA